rnacentral:rRNA from 1 species
AUGAACGCUGGCGGCGUGCCUAAUACAUGCAAGUCGAGCGAACGGACGAGAAGCUUGCUUCUCUGAUGUUAGCGGCGGACGGGUGAGUAACACGUGGAUAACCUACCUAUAAGACUGGGAUAACUUCGGGAAACCGGAGCUAAUACCGGAUAAUAUUUUGAACCGCAUGGUUCAAAAGUGAAAGACGGUCUUGCUGUCACUUAUAGAUGGAUCCGCGCUGCAUUAGCUAGUUGGUAAGGUAACGGCUUACCAAGGCAACGAUGCAUAGCCGACCUGACAGGGUGAUCGGCCACACUGGAACUGAGACACGGUCCAGACUCCUACGGGAGGCAGCAGUAGGGAAUCUUCCGCAAUGGGCGAAAGCCUGACGGAGCAACGCCGCGUGAGUGAUGAAGGUCUUCGGAUCGUAAAACUCUGUUAUUAGGGAAGAACAUAUGUGUAAGUAACUGUGCACAUCUUGACGGUACCUAAUCAGAAAGCCACGGCUAACUACGUG